UCCAAUAGCGAGGGGUGCCGAUUGCCAGUCAUGGACCAAUUCCAUGCAUUGGCCGGCUGAGAUGAAACCCUUAGAACCUGAUCCGGUUCAUACCGGCGGAGGGACUGCUGCUCUUGUUGUUG
rfam:Phytophthora megakarya strain zdho120 scaffold_10544, whole genome shotgun sequence.